rnacentral:rRNA from 1 species
CUAGUUGGUAAGGUAACGGCUUACCAAGGCUACGAUGGGUAGGGGUCCUGAGAGGGAGAUCCCCCACACUGGUACUGAGACACGGACCAGACUCCUACGGGAGGCAGCAGUGAGGAAUAUUGGACAAUGGGCGCAAGCCUGAUCCAGCCAUGCCGCGUGCAGGAUGACGGUCCUAUGGAUUGUAAACUGCUUUUGCACAGGAAGAAACAACUCUACGUGUAGAGUCUUGACGGUACUGUGAGAAUAAGGAUCGGCUAACUCCGUGCCAGCAGCCGCGGUAAUACGGAGGAUCCAAGCGUUAUCCGGAAUCAUUGGGUUUAAAGGGUCCGUAGGCGGUUUAGUAAGUCAGUGGUGAAAGCCCAUCGCUCAACGGUGGAACGGCCAUUGAUACUGCUAGACUUGAAUUAUUAGGAAGUAACUAGAAUAUGUAGUGUAGCGGUGAAAUGCUUAGAGAUUACAUGGAAUACCAAUUGCGAAGGCAGGUUACUACUAAUGGAUUGACGCUGAUGGACGAAAGCGUGGGUAGCGAACAGGAUUAGAUACCCUGGUAGUCCACGCCGUAAACGAUGGAUACUAGCUGUUGGGAGCGAUCUCAGUGGCUAAGCGAAAGUGAUAAGUAUCCCACCUGGGGAGUACGUUCGCAAGAAUGAAACUCAAAGGAAUUGACG